rnacentral:piRNA from 1 species
UGUUUCUACACAAAACUCUCUUACCU